CGUGUAGGCGGCCCUGCAAGUCGGGUGUGAAAUCCCAUGGCUCAACCAUGGAAGUGCAUUCGAAACUGCAGGGCUAGAGUCCUGGAGAGGAAGGUGGAAUGCUUGGUGUAGAGGUGAAAUUCGUAGAUAUCAAGCGGAACACCGGUGGCGAAGGCGGCCUUCUGGACAGUGACUGACGCUGAGACGCGAAAGCGUGGGGAGCAAACGA
rnacentral:rRNA from 1 species